AGAUUGAACGCUGGCGGCAUGCCUUACACAUGCAAGUCGAACGGCGGCACGGGAGCAAUCCUGGUGGCGAGUGGCGAACGGGUGAGUAAUACAUCGGAACGUGCCCAAUCGUGGGGGAUAACGCAGCGAAAGCUGUGCUAAUACCGCAUAAGAUCUACGGAUGAAAGCAGGGGAUCGUAAGACCUUGCGCGAAUGGAGCGGCCGAUGGCAGAUUAGGUAGUUGGUGAGGUAAAGGCUCACCAAGGCGACGAUCUGUAGCUGGUUUGAGAGGACGACCAGCCACACUGGGACUGAGACACGGCCCAGACUCCUACGGGAGGCAGCAGUGGGAAUUUUGGACAAUGGGGAAACCCUGAUCCAGCCAUCCCGCGUGUGCGAUGAAGGCCUUCGGUUGUAAACUGCUUUUGUACGGAACGAAACGGUCCGUAGUUAACUACCGUGGGCUAAUGACGUACCGUAAGAAUAAGCACGACUAACUACGUGCCAGCA
rnacentral:rRNA from 1 species